ensembl:lncRNA
UGUCAAGAGAACUUAUAAUUGAAAUAAUUCCUAUUGAAUCUACCACUAAUUAUUUCUAGAUUACUUUUGUUGAUAUUUAGUUGACAUAUCUUGAGAUUUUAGAGUUUUAUUUUCUAUAGAAGGUACUAUUUUCUCCAGAAGAUUUCCCUAACCAGGAAGACCAUUCCCUCCAACCCCAUCCCCAAGCGAGGCAAAAUGAUCCUCCACUGUAUUCCCCUCAAUCCUUUUGUGCCUUUGAAAUUAUGUGCUUCUGUGUUCAUCGUCUUAUGCUUAGGGGGCUGUCAGUCAUCUUUAUAUCUCUCUUGUCUAUUCCGGUGCCAAGCACGUGGCAGGAACUGUACGAAAGGCCUGAAAGCCUCAAACCAAUUCCACCCUGGAUCUAUGGGCAGUGAAAUUGCUUAUCAUCGAGGAAGGAAUUCAAAAUGGUUCCUAAACAAACAGGAAGAGCCCAUCUACUGUGUUUGGUACUUCUGUUCUCACAAUUUUUCAUUUUUCAGAAUUUGUGGGGAGUGAUUGUAAACUUUGCUUCACUGGAAAGAAGGAAGGCAGGAAGCCACGAUGCCAGGAGCUUCACCCACAUCCUCUCAUGUAAUCCUGUACAAGACCCUGGGAAGGCGGGAUAUUAUUAUCCCUAUUUUACAGAUGAGACAACAAAGGCUUAGAGAUGCUAACUUGUCCAGUGACUAAGCUGAGGAGAUGGGCUCCAAAACCAAAUGUCUGAUUUCGAAGCCCACGCCCUCUUCCUGAACUGUAUUUUCUCCUCUCACAAAGAACUGGUUUUUGAGGACUGAGGGUGCAUGAGCCCCAUGGACUCGCUUCUCCUAGGAUCUCCUGUGUGGGGUGAGCCGACCUCUGUCCGGUUCUCUUGAUGGUGUCAUCCUCCCUGGUCGCUCCCUACCUGAGAGCCUCUGUCUGGUGCUGGCUCCUGCGCACCUUUCACAGGAACGCCAGUGACUCAGCAUCAUGGAGGAAGGACAAGCGUUCUGCUUCACAGUAGCAACGGGGCCACCUGCAGCAAGAUCAGCCAGAUCACUGCCGUCAGGGAAGAAGCCUGCUUCCACCCUUUGGACCUCACGACUCAGGGAGAGGAGGUCCCCGGCCUCUCUCCCAGGUGACUGAGCUUUGCAGAGCAGAGCAGUUUGCAUCAAGCACUGACAGAGACUUUGAGACGGGUGCCUCUUACACCAGACCCCAUAGAUGGUUGUAUAUUACCAAAUGCUCGGAGGAGCUGAAAUGCUUCCUCAAAGUGGAUAUAAUAUGAUUCCUACAGGACAAUUAAUCAGGCCCCUUUGUUACUUAGAGUCUUACCUGUUUUGUUUUGUUGUUGGCUAGAAGGGAACUCUGAGAUCAUAAACUAGCCAAUCUUACGGAUAGGAAACAGUCCUAAGGAGAUCACAGAUUAUAGAAAAUAAAGGCGUUUGAAGGACUGGACAGGCUUCCUGGCUAAUUUCCUUCCCUGUUCUCCCCAUGAGGAGAGCAUACUGGGUGUUACAGAACAAAGCUCGCCUCUUCCACAGGCAAGGCUGAUCCAAGAGUCGAGGGAGAGUCUGUGACUGUCGGGAGAGGCGUUUUCAGCUGCAUUUGCGAGGACCCAGCUCAGUUGCGCCACUUCGACAAACAUUGCCCACUAAAGAGUCACAACAAAUUUUUUAAAGGGAAAAAGGCCCUGAAGCAUCUUCCAUGUCCUCUGAUUACCAUAUGAAUGUGACCCCUUUUUUCAAAAAAGUCUGGCAGUCUUUCCUCCUGAGCAUAAACAACAGAUUACACAGUGAGACGUCAGCACCAUGUCCUUCUAAGAAUCAUGUUAGCCUUCCUUGGCACUGCCAUUCUCCAGCAGUAUCACAUUCCAGCAGACAUGGGUUUCUUGGGAAGAAUUACUCUUCUAAAGAACAGGAGUACCUAUGUGUUUACAGCUGCCUCCUCUAGGAUGGGACCGUGUGCUAUACCUGGGCAGCCUCUGACCUGGCUGGCUGGCCUAGAGUCAAUGCUCAUUAUGUUUGUUGAGUGAAUGAAGGACUGUGAAAUGUUCAUGUGUUCCACACUGGCAAACAGAGCAGAGGAGAGGCAGUGGUGAAAGGUCUGCUCAGGGACGAGGUCCUUGGGACAUUUCAGGCCUCACCUUCACCAACAGCUGCCCAUCUGCUCAUGGCUCACAGACGGCACGAAGCUUCCCUGACGAAGGUGGAUCCUGGGGUGAAACUUCCUCCUCACACAUUUCCAGGCUGAUAAGUUGGGCCUAAGAGGCAUUACUUUAAGAAACAACUGCCCUCAAACCCUCUUAGGAGUGUGACUCCCUCGAGUCCAUUAUAAAGGACUUUGUAGAGGAGUGGAGAAGCUGGGCGAAGAUCUCCAGGCCUCUGGCCAUGAAUCUCCAGCUGUCACACAGACCUGGCACCCUGCCCUCUCUCUCCCCCAGGCCGGAAUGUGGGAGGGUCCCUGGGCGCCCCCAUCCCGCGCCUCCCCCUUCCCCUGCGCUUGCGUCUGUGAUGUUCUGUGAUGUUCGGACGCGUCCCCCGAGCGCAGGCGGGGCCUUAGGGCCACCAGUACCCCCCCAUCGCGGCCAAACGAGGCCGCAGCCCGUCCGUCUCCCUUGCUGUAAACACCUUUAUUUUGGCUUCGGUUUAUGGCCCCCUUCCAGGGGAUCACAACUUGUUUAGACCAGCUCUCAACAAAGGGCCCUCCUGAUUACAGACAUGCUGCUGGUUUAUGGUGGUCUUCCUUUGUCUGAUUCUCUCCGCUGUCUUCCUUCCUCCCCCCCAGGGACCGGCCUUCUGGCUGCUGCUGGGCAGGGCGGGCCGCGGCGGCGGGGCUGCCGUCUGGUUCCCCUCAGCGCAGGGCAGGCGGUGCUCUGACAGGGCCAGGGGGAUAAAAGGAGCCGGAUGUGACUCGCCCGAGGUCAGGCUUCCGUCUGCCCCCCCACCCCCGCCCCCGACACAGUGAGACAUCACUGUGGAUGUCCUCCUGGACAUCCCCCCCCCACCCCCCCAGGAAUGAGGGGGCCUCUGGCGAUGUCCUCGGGGGGCUCACCUGGCCAGCAUCCCUGCCACAGUCCCUGGAGGAGCAGCGCGGCGCUGGGACAAAUACAACCCCGGGCCUGUACCGCCAGCCCUCCUGGCAAAGCCCACGCUCCUCGCAGCCGCUUGCCCCCAGGCCCGCCAGGACUGUGAAGGGGAUGGGACGCCAAGUCAGCCGCCCGGGCCCUGCCCUGUGAGGACACGCAGACUCUGCUGCAGACAGCCAGGCGGGCCCCGCAUCCUCGGGCUCCGGCUCGCGCUUCCUCCGCUCAGCGCUCACCCCGCUCCUGCGCUUCCUCUCGGUGCACGGGAAGGGCCGAGUGCUGGGGGCCACUGGGGCGCCCCGGCCCUUGGGAGACAGGCCUGUGGCACUUGGGACAAUGUCAGGGGCUCUGCCAACACUGCCCCCUGUGCGCGGGGCUCUGUGGACAGCCCCUGAAGAGGCAGAGAGAAGGGAUGAGAAUGCCCCACGAAAAGCAAGUGCUGUAGGGUCCCAGUGCUUCUCUGUUUCAGCCUGGGGCUUCCUCUUUGGCAAAAGGUAUUUGUUCAAGGGGUCCACAGAAAGCCUCUGAAAGGAGAGUCAGGGCUGAGGGUCGCAGAGCGUGAAGUCUCAGACCCUCCUGUUUUCCAACGGGCUGCCUCUGGGGAAGGGAGACUGCCUCCAAUCCAUGCCCUAGUCACGCAAACACACAUAAACGGCCUCAGCUUAACUCAGCACACGCUCCAGGGGACCGAGGAGGCAUGGUCAAUGGAAGAAGUCCUUUCCCCGUUGGUGGUGCAUGGUCAUCUCCUCUCCAGGUGUGACGUUCUAUGCAGAACACGUGGAAAGGCAGAUCCACGCGGACCUGGCCCUGACGCGCAGCAGGCGUACUUGAAAAAUAAGUCAUAAUGGAUUCUAUGCUCAGUUUCCCGGCUACAGAGUGGAAGACGUGAGAAGGCAAACACUUAGACAAUGUCAUAAGGAGCUGUGAUGGCCGCUGGGAUGUGACGCCAGUGCUGACACGGGGAGUCCCUGCAAAGUGGCCUCUUCUCUCCCCUGAACCCCCGCCUGUGCCUUCCCAGCCAGCGUGAGGGGAGGAGCCAACAGCGACCACACUCCAGCUUUGCUGCAACCUUUUUAAAUCUGCUGCAGGCGGAUUUCUCCCCAGCCCUUGCACGUGUUGCUUCUCGUUUUGUAACAAAUAUCCAGCAUUUCUAUAGUGGGUUAUUUUUUUCCAGUUUGCAAAUACACUGUCUGAUGUAACACUCAUAAUUGCUCAGUGAGUAUUUUUGUCUUGUUUUUUCAGAAGACGGAUCUAGGACAUAGAAAAGAUAAGUGACUUUCUCUACAAACUGAUCUGUAGAUCAAUAUAAUCCAAAUAAAACUAUCAUCAGUUUAUUUUGUUUCAGAAAUUGACAAUCUGCUUCCAAAAUUUAUGAGGAAAUAUACAGGCCCAAGAAUGAGAUAAUCAUAAAAAAGAACAGAAUUGGAGUUUCUGCACUACUAGAUAUCAAGACAUUAUAAAUGUACAGUCUACCUCCUUUCUAGACAGUUAGCAACGCGAAGACAGGCGCCGAGUUUUAUCCACCAUUAUAACCCUAGGACUCAGCAUGGCAUCUGACAGACUGUCAACACCGAACAGAUGAUGAGUAAUGAAGAGAAGAGGGGCUGGAUGAAGGAAUGAAUGCUGCAGUGACAGGCCGAGGAGGGGGAUACAGGAUGCUAGGGAAAGGCCGUGGAGAGCAUGAAAGGCAUUCCUCCUCGCUGUCUGACAUCCUCAAAACCACGUCGGAGCCCUUCUUUGAGCUGGAUGGUUCUCAACGACCGACUGGCAGACUGCGGGGACCAGUGAGCGAGCGUUCAUCCCGCGGGUGACUGCAGCAGCCUGUGGGGCCCUGUUCUCUGCAGGAGCCGAGCCGUGGGGGCACCUGCUCUUUCCUAUCAGUUGUGUGCCACCUGCCAGGGCCACAGGCCAGCUUUGCAACCUCCCUGUUUGGGAGAGGCCGGACAGCCGAGUCGUCAGGCACUAUAUCCAACUCUGCUAAUCGUUGGCUGUGUCACCUUGGGCAAGCGACUUCACUUCACUGAGCUUCAGCAUUGUCAUCUCUCAGACUAAGGCCCUGUCUCUGAGCUUUGGUCCACAGCUGGGAUGAGGCUGCUC